rnacentral:tmRNA from 1 species
GGGGAUGUAACGGUUUCGACGGGGGUGCGGAGGCAGGAAUAGCGGGCGGAUGCGCCUACCAUCCAUAAAAUGGGCACUUAUAAAUUAAAGAACGACGAUAACACCGUUCUUCUCGCCGCCUAAGCGGUGAGCGUCCCGCCCGGGAGGGCCACGGCCCGGGACGGGGCGUCGACAAGUGGCGAACGUGAGUACGCAAAGCUUUGAGCGUGCCAUGCAUCAUGAAGCUACCGAGUCCCCGAGCGUGACGGUCCGCGCUCGGACAAGGGAAUGUAAAGGAUCGUCUGCGCCCGGAGAAGUUGCUGUCAAAGCGCUUUCGGACGGGGGUUCGAUUCCCCCCAUCUCCACCA